CAGCCGCCGCGGGAAUACGUAGGGUGCGAGCGUUAAUCGGAAUUACUGGGCGUAAAGCGUGCGCAGGCGGCUGUGUAAGACAGGUGUGAAAUCCCCGGGCUUAACCUGGGAACUGCGCUUGUGACUGCACAGCUAGAGUAUGGCAGAGGGGGGUGGAAUUCCACGUGUAGCAGUGAAAUGCGUAGAGAUGUGGAGGAACACCGAUGACGAAGGCAGCCCCCUGGGCCAAUACUGACGCUCAUGCACGAAAGCGUGGGGAGCAAACAGGAUUAGAUACCCCUGUAGUCCCUGUCUCUUAUAC
rnacentral:rRNA from 1 species